GGUCUCUCCUUGCCUUUUCCUCCCAGAUUCGUCAGGGCCAGCUCGGCUCUGCCCCCGCCAUGCAGGGUCUCGGGGACAGUCUGCCCCCAGCCCACAGGGCCUGCCAGUGCCAGCGGCUCCAGAACGGGUGAGGGGAGAAGGCUCCUCUGCCCCCACACUGCUGCUGAGGGGAGGAGAGCCCGCAGAGCGGGGCUGGGGCUGUCGGCCAGGAGAUGAACACAGAGAGAUGGCCCUGGAGUAUUCCACGCUGAUACACAGAUGGAGUCAGCGCUGACUGGUCAAAGCUGUUUCUCUCACAGACACCAGUGAACACCUGCUGACAUGUGGGACCUCCCCAGCCUGGCUGUUGGUCUGACCUCACCUAGCCAACACGAGCGCUUCAGCUGUCAACGACUUCACUGGAGAUGCAGACACUGGCCACUUCUGCCACUCAGAGCCACAGUGGAAG